UCCGGCUUAUCACCGGCAGUCCCUCUAGAGUGCCCAACUAAAUGAUGGCAACUAAAGGCGAGGGUUGCGCUCGUUGCGGGACUUAACCCAACAUCUCACGACACGAGCUGACGACAACCAUGCACCACCUGUGAACCCGCCCCAAAGGGGAAACCACAUCUCUGCGGCGAUCGGGAACAUGUCAAGCCUUGGUAAGGUUCUUCGCGUUGCAUCGAAUUAAUCCGCAUGCUCCGCCGCUUGUGCGGGCCCCCGUCAAUUCCUUUGAGUUUCAGCCUUGCGGCCGUACUCCCCAGGCGGGGUACUUAGCACAUUCGCUUCGACAGCGAGAGCAUCGGGCCCCCGCUGCCUAGUACCCAUCGUUUACAGCUAGGACUAC
rnacentral:misc_RNA from 1 species